UACGUAGGUGGCAAGCGUUGUCCGGAUUUACUGGGUGUAUAGGGCGUGUAGCCGGGCUGACAAGUCAGAUGUGAAAUCCGGGGGCUCAACCCCCGAACUGCAUUUGAAACUGUUGGUCUUGAGUAUCGGAGAGGCAGGCGGAAUUCCUAGUGUAGCGGUGAAAUGCGUAGAUAUUAGGAGGAACACCAGUGGCGAAGGCGGCCUGCUGGAUGACAACUGACGGUGAGGCGCGAAAGCGUGGGGAGCAAACAGG
rnacentral:rRNA from 1 species